GAUGAACGCUGGCGGCGUGCCUAAUACAUGCAAGUCGAGCGAACAGACGAGGAGCUUGCUCCUCUGACGUUAGCGGCGGACGGGUGAGUAACACGUGGAUAACCUACCUAUAAGACUGGGAUAACUUCGGGAAACCGGAGCUAAUACCGGAUAAUAUAUUGAACCGCAUGGUUCAAUAGUGAAAGACGGUGUUGCUGGCACUUAUAGAUGGAUCCGCGCCGCAUUAGCUAGUUGGUAAGGUAACGGCUUACCAAGGCAACGAUGCGUAGCCGACCUGAGAGGGUGAUCGGCCACACUGGAACUGAGACACGGUCCAGACUCCUACGGGAGGCAGCAGUAGGGAAUCUUCCGCAAUGGGCGAAAGCCUGACGGAGCAACGCCGCGUGAGUGAUGAAGGUCUUCGGAUCGUAAAACUCUGUUAUUAGGGAAGAACAAAUGUGUAAGUAACUAUGCACGUCUUGACGGUACCUAAUCAGAAAGCCACGGCUAACUACGUG
rnacentral:rRNA from 1 species